GUGCUCACUUUGGCAGCACAUAUACUUAAAUUGGAAUGAUACAAAGAUUAGCAUGGCCUCUGCUCAAGGAUGGUAUGUGAAUUGGUGAAGCAUUUCAUGUUUUU
ensembl:snRNA U6 U6 spliceosomal RNA